AUACGGCUCAGUAACGCGUAACUCACCUAACCUAUGGACGGGAAUAACCUCGGGAAACUGAAAAUAAUGCCCGAUAGAACAUUAUGCCUGGAAUGGUUUAUGUUCCAAAUGAUUUAUCGCCGUAAGAUGGGACUGCUGCCUAUCAGUUUGUUGGUGAGGUAAUGGCCCACCAAGACUAUUACAGGUACGGGCUCUGAGAGGAGUAGCCCGGAGAUGGGUACUGAGACACGGACCCAGGCCCUAUGGGGCGCAGCAGGCGAGAAAUCUUUGCAAUGUGCGAAAGCACGACAAGGUUAAUCCGAGUGGUUUCUGCUAAACAAACCUUUUGUCACUCCUACACACACUAAUGAAUCAGGGGUGGGCAAUUUCUGGUGUCAGCCGCCGCGGUAAAACCAGCACCUCAAGUGGUCAGGAUGAUUAUUGGGCCUAAAGCAUCCCGUAGCCGGCUCCUGUAGUUUUCGGUUAAAAUCUGUACACUCA
rnacentral:rRNA from 1 species